rnacentral:rRNA from 2 species
GGGGAAUAUUGCACAAUGGGGGAAACCCUGAUGCAGCAACGCCGCGUGAAGGAUGAAGGUUUUCGGAUUGUAAACUUCUUUAGUCAGGGACGAAUAAAUGACGGUACCUGAAGAAUAAGCCACGGCUAACUACGUGCCAGCAGCCGCGGUAAUACGUAGGUGGCAAGCGUUGUCCGGAUUUACUGGGCGUAAAGGAUGCGUAGGCGGAUAUUUAAGUGAGAUGUGAAAUACCCGGGCUCAACUUGGGUGCUGCAUUUCAAACUGGAUAUCUAGAGUGCAGGAGAGGAAAGUGGAAUUCCUAGUGUAGCGGUGAAAUGCGUAGAGAUUAGGAAGAACAUCAGUGGCGAAGGCGACUUUCUGGACUGUAACUGACGCUGAGGCAUGAAAGCGUGGGGAGCAAACA